rnacentral:lncRNA from 1 species
GCCGAGCUAGUGCACAUUCCAGGGAUCUGGGCUCUGCAGCGCACCGCGUCACGGCUCAGGACCCGCCCCCGGUCUCUGGCUAGUAGGCCCUGCCCCACCGCCUCCGCGGGGCCGAACUUCGAGUGGCCAACUCUGGGCGCGCGCUGUCCCCUUUGCGCCUAGGGCGUGCGCUGGCGGGUGGACUUGGCUGUCUGUUGUACCAUCCGGCUUAGCCCAGUGGGCACAGACGCGCCUGGCAGCAUCGCUUCGUUGUUCCCUUCCACGCUGGGCAGUGAGGGCUGCCCAGAGUGGACGGAACACCGAAUUGUACACUUUGGUAGGGAGCAGGGACUGGUGUGUGCUGUCAGUGGUCGGUCAGUCAGGCUCUGAUUUGAGACCUACUACUCUGAGUAAGAGCCGCUUUUGCUUUUGUGGUGAACAACGCAGGUCCACCUCUCUCCCCAAGAUUGGAAUGGGCUGGUUAAGUGUGGGAAGAGCAGGGUACUAAGUACAUUAGCUUUCCUACAACUGGAUUGGAAGGUGGAAAGGGAGGGGGGAAAAAUCUGCUGACCUUUUUUUCUCCGGUGGCUGCUAUUGAAAAAUGCCAGGUUGCUUCAAAGAAUAGCCACAAGAGGAAACACGCCCCACAGAGAAGCAGCCCAGAGAGCUGUUUAGAGCACAAGAAUAAACCUGUUGGAGGUGGCACAGAAAGCUUAGCGCCAGAUGCCAAGGGCGUCCACAGGCUAACCUUGAACGUCUCUCUCGGGGCUUUCCAGAGAAGGUACAUCUGUGUCAAGGGCCUCCCCAGCUCCCCUUCCAGUCACAAGCCUGCCUCACCCUCUCCAAGCCUGGAAUGGGGCCUACCCGGAUCCAUUCCCAGAAGCAGCUGGUGCCAGCUGGUUUGGGCACCUGCUCCAGGACCUGUCAGUCUGGUCACUCUCUUCCAAGACCCUGUGUCACUCAUCUGAGCACGUGAUUUUGACCGUGCAGAACCUGAGUGGAGGAGAUGAAGCUGCCCUGACUGCAGAGUCAUCUCAGUGCCCUGAGAGAUGGCCCACUAGGCAGACACAGAAACAUUAAAACAAAGCAGAACCUCCCUUGAAAGCCUGGCCUGAUUGUACUCGGUCCACCUGCCAGCAGCCCACAAUGCCCUCUCCAGGGAAAGCCGCCACUACAACCCAAAAUAGAAUUGCCGAGGUACAUACAAUGUCUGCCUUGAGAAAUGCGAAGUGGAGCUUCU